GUCGGAUCCGUUGUCGGGCCGUUCCUUUCCGGAGGGGCCUGUCGGCGACCGGCGAUAUUACCUUGAACAAAUUAGAGUGCUUAAAGCAGGCGAUGUUUGCCUGAAUACAUAUUCAUGGAAUUGGAGAAUACGUCCCUGACUCAAUUUGGUUGGUUUUGUGAGUCGAAGGGAAAUGAUUAAUAGGGACUGACGGAGGCAUUCGUAUUGCAGCGCGAGGGGUGAAAUCCUAGGACCGUUGCACGACGAACUACUGCGAAAGCAUUUGCCGAGAAUGUUUUCAUUAGUCAAGAACGAAAGUUAGAGGUUCGAAGGCGAUCAGAUACCGCCCUAGUUCUAACCGUAAACGAUGUCAACCAGCAAUCCGCAAUAGUCCUUGUAUCGACUGUGCGGGCAGCCUUCGGAGAAAUCAGAGUUUUCAGACUCCGGGGAGAGUACGGUUACAAAACAGAAAUUUAAAGGAAUUGACGGAAGGGCACCACCAGGAGUGGAGCUUGCGGCUUAAUUUGACUCAACACGGGACAACUCACCAGGCCCGGACACUGUAAGGAUUGACAGACUGAGAGCUCUCUCAUGAUUCAGUGGGUGGUGGUGCAUGGCCGUUCUUAGUUGGUGGAUUGAUUUGUCUGGUUUAUUCCGAUAACGAACGAGACUCUGGCCUACUAAAUUUGAAAUCACUUGUACUUUGGUACAUUGAUUCGCUUCUUAGAGGGAUUAUCGGCAUCUAGUCGAAAGAAAGAGAGCAAUAACAGGUCUGUGAUGCCCUUAGAUGUUCUGGGCUGCCCGCGUGUUACACUGAAGUGGUCAACGCGCUACGUUUACGUCCCUCUCCGAGAGGAGCGGGCAAACGUUUGAACCCAUUUCGUGAUGGGGAUUGAGGGUUGCAAUUAUCCCUCAUGAACGAGGAAUUCCAAGUAAGCACAGGUCACUAGCCUGUGUUGAUUAAGUCCCUGCCCUUUGUAC
rnacentral:rRNA from 1 species